rnacentral:rRNA from 1 species
UACGUAGGGUGCGAGCGUUGUCCGGAAUUAUUGGGCGUAAAGGGCUCGUAGGCGGUCUGUCGCGUCGGUAGUGAAAACUCAGGGCUUAACCCUGAGCCUGCUUCCGAUACGGGCAGACUAGAGGUAUGCAGGGGAGAAUGGAAUUCCUGGUGUAGCGGUGAAAUGCGCAGAUAUCAGGAGGAACACCAGUGGCGAAGGCGGUUCUCUGGGCAGUAACUGACGCUGAGGAGCGAAAGCGUGGGGAGCGAACAGG